rnacentral:rRNA from 1 species
UACGUAGGGGGCAAGCGUUGUCCGGAUUUAUUGGGCGUAAAGAGCGUGUAGGCGGCCGUACAGGUCAGCUGUGAAAACUCGAGGCUCAACCUCGAGACGUCGGUUGAAACCGUACGGCUAGAGUCCGGAAGAGGAGAGUGGAAUUCCCGGUGUAGCGGUGAAAUGCGCAGAUAUCAGGAGGAACACCGGUGGCGAAGGCGGUGGUCUGGGCCCAGUACUGACGCUGAGGAGCGAAAGCGUGGGGAGCGAACAGG